UGGGGAAUUUUGGACAAUGGGCGAAAGCCUGAUCCAGCAAUGCCGCGUGUGUGAAGAAGGCCUUCGGGUUGUAAAGCACUUUUGUCCGGAAAGAAAUCCUUGGCUCUAAUACAGUCGGGGGAUGACGGUACCGGAAGAAUAAGCACCGGCUAACUACGUGCCAGCAGCCGCGGUAAUACGUAGGGUGCAAGCGUUAAUCGGAAUUACUGGGCGUAAAGCGUGCGCAGGCGGUUUGCUAAGACCGAUGUGAGAUCCCCGGGCUCAACCUGGGAACUGCAUUGGUGACUGGCAGGCUAGAGUAUGGCAGAGGGGGGUAGAAUUCCACGUGUAGCAGUGAAAUGCGUAGAGAUGUGGAGGAAUACCGAUGGCGAAGGCAGCCCCCUGGGCCAAUACUGACGCUCAUGCACGAAAAGCGUGGGGAGCAAACAGGAUUAGAUACCCUGGUAGUCCACGCCCUAAACGAUGUCAACUAGUUGUUGGGGAUUCAUUUCCUUAGUAACGUAGCUAACGCGUGAAGUUGACCGCCUGGGGAGUACGGUCGCAAGAUUAAAAACUUAAAGGAAUUGACGGGGUCAUAGCUGUUUCCU
rnacentral:rRNA from 1 species